UAUGAAUUGCAAUUGGAUAAUUAGAUUAUAGUUCACCCAAUUUUUUUCAGGCCGUGAUUCAGGAUACUGCGGGAGUAAGACUGCCGAUAUCGUUUGUUAUCCCCGUUGCAUGGCUACACGUAAAUCGGAUGUUUGAAAGAUUAUCAAUAACGACGAUUUAAUUCAAGGAUUUCCAUCAACCACCCUCCGCCGGAUUAGACAAGUUUUGUUGUGUAUUCGCAAAAUAAUCGACAUAAAAGGGUUUUGCGUUAUUUCGCCGCGUGUUUAAACUGGCCCCUUACGUCGAAGCUAGUAUGAUUGUAUUACGACUUUGACAUCUGUUUUUUUUUAUAUAAUCUAUUAUAACAUAUAAAAUAUACAGCAUGACUAUUUAAACAAAAAUAAAGCAGUGUACAUUUGUUCAUUAAUAGUUUUGAUGUUUACGUUGUUUAUAAUCAUUGCAAAACAUGCAGGAUGAAUAAACUCAAUCAUUCGGAGGAUGAAACCCAACGGUUUCCUUUUUUAAACAUUCCAAUGAUGUAUUUUGGGGGGUUUUUGUAUGCCCCAAAUUUAUUUUUAUUUACUUUGAAUAUUUCUAACGUUGAAAGGAGAGCAUUUCCGUUUAAAUACGUCUAUAAAUUUGUAAGAUUAUUCAUUAGGUUUGCAAGGAAAAUUAUUUGAUACUGUAAUGGCCGACAAAUCGGAACAUGCAGCUUGAAGAAAUUUCUCAACUUAUUAUACCUCGAAACGUUAUUUCAAAUCAGGCACCAAACAAUGAAGGGAAAUGGAAAUAUUCGGCGGAUCCAAAUGUUAAAAUAUUCUUAUGAUAAAAAUUGGUAUUUAUGGCAAACAGAUUAAUCAUUUUUAUCUCUUAAAGAUA